rnacentral:rRNA from 1 species
GAUGAACGCUGGCGGCGUGCUUAACACAUGCAAGUCGAACGGGAAGUAUUUUUUUGAGACUUCGGUGGGUUUGAUACGUUUCUAGACCCGGCCGGGUGAGUGACGCGUGGGUUGCCUGCCUUUUACAAGGCGCUGACAGCUAGCAAUGGAUGGUAAUACCGCAUAAGCGCAGCGAGCUGCAUGUCUCAGUGUGGAAAAAGCCGGUGGGCUUAGCGGGACCCGCGUUGGAUUGGCGAGGUGGAGGGGUAAUGGCCCACCCAGGCGACGAUCCCUAGCCGGCGUGAGAGGGUGAACGGCCACAGUGGGACUGAGACACGGCCCAGACUCAUACGGGAAGCAGGAGGGGGGAAUAAUGCACUAUGAGGGAGACCCAGAUGCAGCGACGGCGCGUGAAUGAAGAAGUAUCGGGGUAUGUAAUCCUCUAUCAGCAGAGAAGAUAGUGACGGUACCUGACGAAGAAGCCCCGGCUAACUACGUG